AACGAACGCUGGCGGCAGGCCUAACACAUGCAAGUCGAGCGCCCCGCAAGGGGAGCGGCGGACGGGUGAGUAACGCGUGGGAACGUGCCCUUUGCUACGGAAUAGCCCCGGGAAACUGGGAGUAAUACCGUAUAAGCCCUACGGGGGAAAGAUUUAUCGGCAAAGGAUCGGCCCGCGUUGGAUUAGGUAGUUGGUGGGGUAAUGGCCUACCAAGCCGACGAUCCAUAGCUGGUUUGAAAGGAUGAUCAGCCACACUGGGACUGAGACACGGCCCAGACUCCUACGGGAGGCAGCAGUGGGGAAUCUUAGACAAUGGGCGCAAGCCUGAUUUAGCCAUGCCGCGUGAGCGAUGAAGGCCUUAGGGUUGUAAAGCUCUUUCGUGGGGGAAGAUAAUGACUGUACCCCAAGAAGAAGCCCCGGCUAACUCCGUGCCAGCCGCCGCCGUAAAAC
rnacentral:rRNA from 1 species